UACGAAGGGGGGCUAGCGUUGUUCGGAAUCACUGGGCGUAAAGGGCGCGUAGGCGGCUUUAUAAGUCGGGGGUGAAAGCCUGUGGCUCAACCACAGAAUUGCCUUCGAUACUGUAGAGCUUGAGACCGGAAGAGGUAAGUGGAACUGCGAGUGUAGAGGUGAAAUUCGUAGAUAUUCGCAAGAACACCCAGUGGCGAAGGCGGCUUACUGGUCCGGUUCUGACGCUGAGGCGCGAAAGCGUGGGGAGCAAACAGG
rnacentral:rRNA from 1 species